rnacentral:tRNA from 1 species
AUCUAAAUAGUUUAAGUAAAAUAUCGAUUUGUGGUGUCGAUGAUAUAGUUUUUAUUUUAGAUU